GUAGGUGGCAAGCGUUGCCCGGAAUUAUUGGGCGUAAAGCGCGCGCAGGCGGUUCUUUAAGUCUGAUGUGAAAGCCCACGGCUCAACCGUGGAGGGUCAUUGGAAACUGGAGAACUUGAGUACAGAAGAGGAAAGCGGAAUUCCACGUGUAGCGGUGAAAUGCGUAGAGAUGUGGAGGAACACCAGUGGCGAAGGCGGCUUUCUGGUCUGUAACUGACGCUGAGGCGCGAAAGCGUGGGGGAGCAAACAGGAUUAGAUACCCUGGUAGUCCACGCCGUAAACGAUGAGUGCUAAGUGUUAGGGGGUUCCGCCCCUUAGUGCUGCAGCUAACGCAUUAAGCACUCCGCCUGGGAGUACGGCCGCAAGGCUG
rnacentral:rRNA from 1 species